rnacentral:rRNA from 1 species
UACAGAGGUGGCAAGCGUUGUUCGGAAUUACUGGGCGUAAAGGGCGCGUAGGCGGUCCGAUAAGUCCCGUGUGAAAUCCCUCGGCUCAACUGAGGAACCGCACGGGGAACUGCCGGGCUUGAGUUCGGGAGAGGGAAGCGGAAUUCCGGGUGUAGCGGUGAAAUGCGUAGAUAUCCGGAGGAACACCGGUGGCGAAGGCGGCUUCCUGGACCGACACUGACGCUGAGGCGCGAAAGCGUGGGGAGCGAACAGG